GGUUACCUUGUUACGACUUCACCCCAGUCAUGAACCACAAAGUGGUGAGCGUCCUCCCCGAAAGGUUAAACUACCCACUUCUUUUGCAGCCCACUCCCAUGGUGUGACGGGCGGUGUGUUCAAAGCCCGGGAACGUAUUCACCGUAGCAUUCUGAUCUACGAUUACUAGCGAUUCCGACUUCAUGGAGUCGAAUUGCAGACUCCAAUCCGGACUACGACGCACUUUUUGGGAUUCGCUAACCAUCGCUGGCUUGCUGCCCUCUGUAUGCGCCAUUGGUAGCACGUGUGUUAUCCCUACUCGUAAGGGGCAUGAAUGAAUUGAAGUUCGUCCCCACCUUCCUCCCGGUUUAUCACCGGGAAUCUCCCC
rnacentral:rRNA from 1 species